rnacentral:rRNA from 1 species
ACGAACGCUGGCGGCAUGCCUUACACAUGCAAGUCGAACGGUAGAGGGGCAACCCUUGAGAGUGGCGAACGGGUGAGUAAUGCAUCGGAACGUGUCCAGUCGUGGGGGAUAACGCAGCGAAAGCUGUGCUAAUACCGCAUGUGAUCUGUGGAUGAAAGCAGGGGACCGCAAGGCCUUGUGCGAUUGGAGCGGCCGAUGUCAGAUUAGCUAGUUGGUAGGGUAAAAGCCUACCAAGGCGACGAUCUGUAGCUG